CCAAUAGCGUAUAUUAAAGUUGUUGCAGUUAAAAAGCUCGUAGUUGAAUUUCGGGAUUGACGUGAUGGUCAUGCCUUAAGGGGUAUGAACUGUUGCUGUUGAUUUCUCACCUUCUGGAGAAACUUGAUGUCCUUUAUUGGGUGUCUUGCGGAUCCAGGACCUUUACCUUGAAAAAAUUAGAGUGUUUAAAGCAGGCAUUUUUGCUCGAAUACAUUAGCAUGGAAUAAUAGAAUAGGACGGCAUGGUUCUAUUUUGUUGGUUUCUAGGAUCACCGUAAUGAUUAAUAGGGAUAGUUGGGGGCAUUAGUAUUCAAUUGUCAGAGGUGAAAUUCUUGGAUUUAUUGAAGACUAACUACUGCGAAAGCAUUUGCCAAGGAUGUUUUCAUUAAUCAAGAACGAAAGUUAGGGGAUCGAAGACGAUCAGAUACCGUCGUAGUCUUAACCAUAAACUAUGCCGACUAGGGAUCGGAUGAUGUUAAUUUUUUAAUGACUCAUUCGGCGCCUUACG
rnacentral:misc_RNA from 1 species